UGCACACGAGGAUCUUGCCCGAUUACCUACCAAAUGAACAUUUCAUCAGCGUACUACCCGUUUAUUAGUCAAUCCAAACCACGUGACCUCUGGUUGGCACACAAACUAACAAAGAGGUUAUGUUUGUAUCUAUUUUUCAAUGAUUUUUCAUUGUUUAUCGUCGUAUUUUGUCUAUUUUGGAUUCAUUUGGAUUUCGUUUCCUGUUUUUGUUAACUUUAUAAACUUUACCACAAUGCAAAGUGAUUAUUUAAGGAAAUCAUUAUUGGAAACUCCAGAUGUUGCGAGAAAGGUAGGCGAAACAAUUUUUAUUUACUGUUCAUUUUGCCCCGAUAUUUAUCAAUAAUGAUGAAUUUUGCAAGCAAUAACAUUAUUUCUUUUAUUGUUUUAGAUAUUUAUUGAAGCUGAAAAUAAUUGGGGACUUAGAUCCAUAGGCAAUUCAGUCAGAAUUGGAUUUUACAGUAAAGUGCAGUCCAUCAAGUUACUAUUAUAGAUAUUUAUACAUAUUUGGUGGAGUCUCACAGUUGCUACUCUAAGCAGCAGAUGAAAGAAAGCAUACAAAAGCCUUCAGGCACAUAAAUAUUUUACAGCUAAAUUUGUUUUGAACGUUGGAGUAAAAAUUGUUAAUGAUUUCCUGAUUUCCAUAUUAUUGUUGGAAAGGUGAAGCAUUUCCAAAAAGCUAAUGCUAAACGACUAAAUACUUGGGUGGGGUGAUAGCCAGUUCUGAUGACAUAGCAAAUGCACAUUGUAUGCAUAUGGCCGGUAAUAGUGAAGCCUGCAGCCAUAUUGCAGCAAUCCUAUUUUUAGCUGAGUAUGCCCAGGGCACGACAGAUGAAGAAGAACCAAAUGCAUGUACAUAUGUUACAGCUACAUGGUUUGGAGAUAGCAACAUAUGCAUUCUCUGAUGAAAAACUAAUGAGUUUUGAAACUGUUCUGUCAGAGUGCUUGUUGCGCUCACUAAACGAACUGAAAUAUAAGACGGUUUUGGCAUUGUGUUGCAGCGAUAUAGAAAAUGGCUAUUCAUUUUUAAUUAUAAUGUACUUCUUCAUCAUGAGUAAUUAUGUAUUGGUCUUUUAAAUGUGUAUUUAUUUUUGUAAUUAGUAUCAACUUGUAAUGAUAAUAUACAUUUAUCGUUUAAGGUAUGACUAUGUUUUGACUCUAAAAUAAAUGUUUUAAAAAUCGAA